CCCUUAGAUGUUCUGGGCCGCACGCGCGCUACACUGACGAGUUCAACAAGUUGUCCACCUUGACUGAAGAGUCCGGGUAAUCUUUUAAAAGCUCGUCGUGAUGGGGAUAGAUUAUUGCAAUUAUUAAUCUUCAACGAGGAAUUCCUAGUAAGGGCGGUUCAUCAGACCGCCCUGAUUACGUCCCUGCCCCUUGUACACACCGCCCGUCGCUACUACCGAUUGGAUGGUCUGGUGAGUCUUUCGGACUGCGGCUCUGGCUCGGGCAACCGGGUCUUGCUGCGGGAAGUUACGCAAACCCUAUCAUCUAGAGGAAGUAAAAGUCGUAACA
rnacentral:rRNA from 1 species